UGGAGCCAGCCUGGGCUCAUAUAAGGACCAGCCACUGAGAGGAGGGUGUCUGUUGGACGUUGGCUGCUGCUUGUGAGGGCGUGCUGCAUAGCCAUAGAGCCCCUUCACCAGUUGGGCCAUGAGGAAAGUUCCUGAGCUCUAGAAAAUGGAAACCACUGCACGCAUCUACAACACAAAGAGGAUCCAAAAACUAAGCAGCUGAUGACCCUCCCCUCAUAAUCUGGGAAGACUAGAAAACAUCUGCCGAAAGAUCAGUGAGGCAAGUGAAGUACAAGGUGAAAUCUGAGAGCAUCAAAUACCUUCCAGGACAAAGACUAUGCAACCACUCUGGACACCUCUUCUGUCUGAGCACCCUUGUGGGGAUAGUCUUUCAUCAUUCUGCCAAGGAACACUUGUGAGAAGACUCAGACUUCAUCUUCUCUACACCUUCCCAGUAGGCAUCUGUAGUCAGCAGUAAGGCCCACCCCUAGGCCUUCUUUCCUUAAUGCUGACCAAAGGAAUUCCCUCAGCCCACCCACCCUUGUAUGGAGGCUGCACAUACAGUAUGGUAGUGGGCACCUGGACCUUCAGUGCCACUGCUGUGAAUGCACUGAAGGGAGCCCUGGCAUGAUGGUGUUGUUCCGGGCCAACUGUGCUGUGGGUGGAUCCACCUCCAUGGGCUCCACAGUAGUGGUUGUUGUGCAGGUCAUUGCACAGGCACUCUUCCUACUUUUUUGUGGGCCUUUCUUGCCUCAUUGAUUGUGAGAACCUGUUCUCUCUUUUCCCAUGUAAAAGUGUGCAGCAGUUGCUCCAGGUCCUCUUCUUUCCACCCAUGG